rnacentral:rRNA from 1 species
GUGCCAGCAGCCGCGGUAAUACGUAGGUGGCAAGCGUUGUCCGGAAUUAUUGGGCGUAAAGCGCGCGCAGGUGGUUUAAUAAGUCUGAUGUGAAAGCCCACGGCUCAACCGUGGAGGGUCAUUGGAAACUGUUAAACUUGAGUGCAGGAGAGAAAAGUGGAAUUCCUAGUGUAGCGGUGAAAUGCGUAGAGAUUAGGAGGAACACCAGUGGCGAAGGCGGCUUUUUGGCCUGUAACUGACACUGAGGCGCGAAAGCGUGGGGAGCAAACAGGAUUAGAUACCCUUGUAGUCC